GAUGAAGAACGCAGCGAAAUGCGAUACGUAAUGUGAAUUGCAAAUUCAGUGAAUCAUCGAGUCUUUGAACGCACAUUGCGCCCCCUGGUAUUCCGGGGGGCAUGCCUGUCCGAGCGUCAUUGCUGCCCUCAAGCACGGCUUGUGUGUUGGGCCCCGUCCUCCGAUCCCGGGGGACGGGCCCGAAAGGCAGCGGCGGCACCGCGUCCGGUCCUCGAGCGUAUGGGGCUUUGUCACCCGCUCUGUAGGCCCGGCCGGCGCUUGCCGAUCAACCCAAAUUUUUUAUCCAGGUUGACCUCGGGUCAGGUAGGGAUACCCGCUGAACUUAAGCAUAUCAAUAAGCGGAGGA
rnacentral:misc_RNA from 1 species